rnacentral:rRNA from 1 species
UACGAAGGGGGCUAGCGUUGCUCGGAAUCACUGGGCGUAAAGCGCACGUAGGCGGAUUGUUAAGUCAGGGGUGAAAUCCUGGAGCUCAACUCCAGAACUGCCUUUGAUACUGGCGAUCUUGAGUCCGGGAGAGGAGCGUGGAAUUCCCAGUGUAGAGGUGAAAUUCGUAGAUAUUGGGAAGAACACCGGUGGCGAAGGCGGCGCUCUGGACCGAGACUGACGCUGAGGCGCGAAAGCGUGGGGAGCAAACAGG